CCCUGGCCCAGCUGAGUAAAUGUCAAUGAAUUAAAGGAUUAUGCCACCAACUCCAUGGGCCUUUUCUACAGUCUUAUUGUUCCAUUCUCGAGAAGGAACCUGCAAGUGGAGGGUUGUCCCAGCGGAGAGUCGCCGUUCCUUCUUGAUCUGAAUACCAGGAAAAUACUUCACUCAUCCGAGUAUGCGCGGUGUAACAGCCGGCCACCACCCGAGGGCGCUGGGUCGGUGACUGUCUCCGAGUCAGAGAGAAGGGACGGCAAAGGAAGCUUUUGCCAACAAUGUCAAAUUAAUGUGACUGAGCUGAAGAGGCAAGCGCUGGCCUUGGCAGACCCAAGUUCACUAACGAUUUGUGAAUACAUGUUUAACUUUACUUUGAGUCUCAAGGCUGGUUGUAUUUGACCCGUAAUGCUCGGUUUGCAUGACAAGGACAGACUGCCUUGGUUCCAACUUCCACUCAUUUAUUGCAGGGGAUAUAGGGGCACAGAUGGCAUGCUCAGAAUAAAGCGUGCUUCCACCUUCCUCCCAGUGUAGAUAGCUGUAGGCAUGCAGUGUGAUUCUGCAUGUUUCUGACUAUGUCCUGUGUCAUGACCCAUGCUCCAGCUUUGCCUUGUGGUCCUCAUCACUGAUGGGCACCCCUCUGAUGGUUUUAUGUUUGUACUCACUGCCAAUGUGCCUAUGAGAUAGUCCAGUGCAAUGGGUACACAUGGCUGUAAGACUUGUGAGCUCUGUAUUCCCAGCAUGUAGUAGCUGUUGCUCAGGCUGUGUUGAUUGUCAAGCAAAUAGCUGUUGGUCUCACGGUAAAUGACCGUUAAUUUAAAACACAUCCUGCCUUCCACACAGCCUACAAGCAAUUUAAAAAGUCGAAUAAAUCCCUGUAAUAUAACCUACACCAAUAAAUCCAUUAUUUAUUUGAGACAGUUCUAAAGAAGCAUAAUAUGAAGAAAAUGUAGUCUAUUUCCGAAUAAAAAAAUAGCUAUCCUUAUGUUAGGUCCUGAUGUGGCUAUGCCAAAUGGCUGUGGGCUACACUAGUUCAUUUAGCAGACAAGAUUUGCUUAUAAUUCCGUGGCAUUAUUUUUUAUUAUGUUAUAGUAUGAAGAAUACAAUUGCACAAAGCUGAAUAAAAUGUAGAUAUUUUCUCCAAAUUAUUUGAGGGAGUGCGCACAGAAAUAUGUACCCCUAUAUGCUUAUUUUAGAGUUAUUAAUGUACCUUUAGUUCUACAAAGAAUGUCAUAUGUAGCUAUAUGUUUCGAUUUUUAAUACAUCGUAAGGCUGCAUGAUGAGACUAAUGAUGAUUUUGAAAAGUUGCUUGAAAGGCACGAGCUCUGCUUUGUUUUUUUUGUGCAGGCUGUACACACUCCAAUAGUCACUCAUCCACAAUUUGACAAGCAUGCCUUGAUAAUGCCUCGAAAUUCAUGGCGGUAUCCCCUUCGUGGCAGUAAUGCACCCUAAAAAAAUCCAUUCAUUUUGUGGCCAGAGUGCUGUGUUGUGCCCUUCUCGCUGAGAGUGCUGCGCAAUCCGAAGCGUCUCUCACUCACAUGGCUCUCCGUCACGUUGUAACGGUUUUAACUUGAGGUUAUUAUUUAUAGGGGUGCCAGGUAGGUUGUGCCUACCAGAGAAAACAUUAGUUUCUCCUUUUGGUUUGGGAGGGAAUGAGUCCCAUCAAGUCUACACCAAUACAAAGGACUUAUGUAAAAGUCCGGAUGGAAAUAAACUUUUCAUAAACCCUUAAAACAUUGGAAAGAACUUCAAAAACAACUAUAUUCUUUUGCUUGGGUUGUAUUAGCAACAUCAAUGAUUACACACACAUACAAUAAUAUCACAAUGAGUUCUGGUUCUUCUAGCACUGUCCUGUAC
ensembl:lncRNA